UGGGGAGUAUUGGACAAUGGGGGCAACCCUGAUCCAGCCAUGCCGCGUGCGUGAAGAAGGCCUUAGGGUUGUAAAGCGCUUUCAGCGGGGAAGAUAAUGACGGUACCCGCAGAAGAAGCCCCGGCUAACUCCGUGCCAGCAGCCGCGGUAAGACGGAGGGGGCUAGCGUUGUUCGGAAUUACUGGGCGUAAAGCGCGCGUAGGCGGUUUGCCAAGUUGAGGGUGAAAUCCCGGGGCUCAACCCCGGAACUGCCUUUGAUACUGGCAAUCUCGAGUCCGAGAGAGGUGAGUGGAAUUCCGAGUGUAGAGGUGAAAUUCGUAGAUAUUCGGAGGAACACCAGUGGCGAAGGCGGCUCACUGGCUCGGUACUGACGCUGAGGUGCGAAAGCGUGGGGAGCAAACGGGAUUAGAUACCCCUGUAGUCC
rnacentral:rRNA from 1 species